GUGCCAGCAGCCGCGGUAAUACGGAGGAUCCAAGCGUUAUCCGGAAUCAUUGGGUUUAAAGGGUCCGUAGGUGGAUAAUUAAGUCAGAGGUGAAAUCUUGCAGCUCAACUGUAAAAUUGCCUUUGAUACUGGUUAUCUUGAGUUAUUAUGAAGUAGUUAGAAUAUGUAGUGUAGCGGUGAAAUGCAUAGAUAUUACAUAGAAUACCAAUUGCGAAGGCAGAUUACUAAUAAUCAACUGACACUGAUGGACGAAAGCGUGGGUAGCGAACAGGAUUAGAUACCCUGGUAGUCCACGCCGUAAACGAUGGUUACUAGCUGUUUGGACCUUGUGUCUGAGUGGCUAAGCGAAAGUGAUAAGUAACCCACCUGGGGAGUACGUUCGCAAGAAUGAAACUCAAAGGAAUUGACGGGGGCCCGCACAAGCGGUGGAGCAUGUGGUUUAAUUCGAUGAUACGCGAGGAACCUUACCAGGGCUUAAAUGUAAGUUGCAUUAGUUAGAGAUAGCUAUUUCUUCGGACCACUUACAAGGUGCUGCAUGGUUGUCGUCAGCUCGUGCCGUGAGGUGUCAGGUUAAGUCCUAUAACGAGCGCAACCCCUGUUGUUAGUUGCCAGCGAGUCAUGUCGGGAACUCUAACAAGACUGCCGGUGCAAACCGUGAGGAAGUGGGGAUGACGUCAAAUCAUCACGGCCCUUACGUCCUGGCUACACACGUGCUACAAUGGUCGGUACA
rnacentral:rRNA from 1 species